rnacentral:rRNA from 1 species
UACGUAGGAGGCAAGCGUUGUCCGGAAUUACUGGGCGUAAAGCGCGUGUAGGUGGUGGGACAAGUCUGCUGUGAAAGCGCCUGGCUUAACCGGGCGAGGUCGGCGGAAACUGUCGCACUCGAGGACGGUAGAGGUAGGUAGAAUUCCCGGUGUAGUGGUGAAAUGCGUAGAGAUCGGGAGGAAUACCUGUGGCGAAGGCGGCCUACUGGGCCGGACCUGACGCUGAGACGCGAAGGCGUGGGGAGCGAACGGG